rnacentral:rRNA from 1 species
GUAGGUGGCAAGCGUUGUCCGGAAUUAUUGGGCGUAAAGCGCGCGCAGGCGGUUCAUUAAGUCUGAUGUGAAAGCCCACGGCUCAACCGUGGAGGGUCAUUGGAAACUGGAGAACUUGAGUACAGAAGAGGAAAGCGGAAUUCCACGUGUAGCGGUGAAAUGCGUAGAGAUGUGGAGGAACACCAGUGGCGAAGGCGGCUUUCUGGUCUGUAACUGACGCUGAGGCGCGAAAGCGUGGGGGAGCAAACAGGAUUAGAUACCCUGGUAGUCCACGCCGUAAACGAUGAGUGCUAAGUGUUAGGGGGUUUCCGCCCCUUAGUGCUGCAGCUAACGCAUUAAGCACUCCGCCUGGGAGUACGGCCGCAAGGCUG